rnacentral:rRNA from 1 species
AUUGAACGCUGGCGGCAGGCUUAACACAUGCAAGUCGAGCGGAGAUGAGGUGCUUGCACCUUAUCUUAGCGGCGGACGGGUGAGUAAUGCUUAGGAAUCUGCCUAUUAGUGGGGGACAACAUUCCGAAAGGAAUGCUAAUACCGCAUACGUCCUACGGGAGAAAGCAGGGGAUCUUCGGACCUUGCGCUAAUAGAUGAGCCUAAGUCGGAUUAGCUAGUUGGUGGGGUAAAGGCCUACCAAGGCGACGAUCUGUAGCGGGUCUGAGAGGAUGAUCCGCCACACUGGGACUGAGAAACGGCCCAGACUCCGACGGGAGGCAGCAGUGGGGAAUAUUGGACAAUGGGGGGAACCCUGAUCCAGCCAUGCCGCGUGUGUGAAGAAGGCCUUAUGGUUGUAAAGCACUUUAAGCGAGGAGGAGGCUACUGAGACUAAUACUCUUAGAUAGUGGACGUUACUCGCAGAAUAAGCACCGGCUAACUCUGUGCCAGCCGCCGCCGUAAGAC